UGUGUGUAGCUGUAGCUCACUCAUUUAUAUUGCUAUGUAUAAUAUUGUGCUGCAUGAAUAUGCUACAGUUUUCUAUUUCACUGUUGGUGGGCAUUUGGGUUUCUGGAUUUUUUGCUGUUAUGCAUAAUGUUCUAUGAACAUUCUUAUCUAUGUCUCUUAUGCAUUUGCAUGUAUUUCUGUUUGAUAUAUACUCAGAAGUAAAAUUGCUGGGUCAUAGAGCAUGUGUAUAUUCAAAUACAGUAGAUAUUGCCAAAGAAUUUUUCAAAGGAUUGUGUCAAUUUAAGUACUCACAGGCAAUGUAGGAGAGUUAUGGUUGCUCUGCAUUCUUACGAACGCUUAGUAUUGUCGAUCUUUUUUAUUAUAACAAUUCUGAUGAGUAAAUUUAGUGUUAUCUCAUUUCUUUACAAUUCCCUAGUGAGUAAUGAGGUUGAGUACCUUUUCAUAUGCUAUUUAGAUAUCUUUUUUGUAAAGUCUGUUCAGGCAUCUUGCUGUUUUCUUCUCUUAUUUGUCUUUUUCUUACUGAUUCUAGGAAUUAAAAAGAAAAACUAUUCUGGGAAUCAGUUUUCUGUCCAUUAUGUGCAUUGCAAAUAUUUUCUCAUAUCCAUGGUUUGCUUUUUCCCACUUGAUGAUGGCUUUUGAUAAACAGAAGUUUUUCAUUUUCAUAUAAUCCUUUUAUCAAUAAUUAGUCUUUCCCCUUAUAAUUAGUGCUUUUUGUGACUAUUUAAUGAAAGCAACUUCAGAAUGCUUUAAUUUUAUUCAUAAUUGAGAGGAUUUGGAGAAGGCUAAUCUUUUUCUGAUUUACUUGUCUCUAAAGGCAUCACACUUUUGGGUCCCAACCUUAAGCUUCAGGUCUGAGUGGGGGUGGUUACUAGAAUCUCUUUUCCUUGGACGCCUAAGAUUCCAUUUUUUUGUUUCCCACCUAUACAAGUCUGUGAAAUCUCUGCUCAGUUUCUUAGACUCUCAAAUGCUUUUCUGUAAUUUGCAGACAUCUCAGGGAGAAAGCACACCCCAAACCAGGUUUCAUCUGAGACUCCCAUACUAUCCUAGAUGGGGUGUGAGGGGGUCUCUGUAAUUCCUCACUGUCUUGAUAUCUCUCUGAUGCUUACGAGGAGAUUUUUAACAAAACAUUUCAUCCAGCUAUCCUAAUUGUCAUCUGAUGAGCUGUUUUGAGUCACCCAGUCUGCUGCCUACUGAAAGUGGAACUCUGGGAAUCUGAUAAAAGAGUGGGUAAUUUCAUGUGUCAUUACACUGGGGAUUAUUCAGUCUUUGAUGAAGCAACAACUUGCUAGCUUGUAAGAGCCCUACCAAGUGAGGGUCUUUCCUCUGUUACAGGGUACCAAUAUGUGAAUAACUAUCAUUGUCUUGUUAGCAGUGGGGCCCUGACUCACGUGAAGGAAUUAUAGCAUUUUGAGGUGGCACAUGUUUAGUUGAUCACAUAAAUAUUUAAAAAAUUGAAAUUCAGAUGAAGUAAUAACUAUUUUUUGAUACUUAUUUUUUGAAAAACAGGAUCGUGAACUUCCGAGACUGAUUAGAGGCCGAGUUCAUAGAUGUGUUGGCAACUAUGACCAGAAAAAGAACAUUUUCCAAUGUGUUUCUGUCAGACCGGCGUCUGUUUCUGAACAAAAAACUUUCCAGGCAUUUGUCAAAAUUGCAGAUGUUGAGAUGCAGUAUUAUAUUAAUGUGAUGAAUGAAACUUAAGUAGUGAUAAAAGGAAGUUUAGCAUAAAUUAUAGCAGUUUUCUGUUAUUGCUUAAUUUACCAUCUCCAUAGUUUUAUAGCUACUAUUGUAUUUCACUUGUUGAAUUAAAGUAUUUGAAUUCUUUUAAAUGUGGAAAGAGUUUUUGAAGUAUAAUUUUAAUGUUUUUAUUAAAAUGGUAUAUUUGCUAAAAUUCCACAACCAUCCUAGAUAAAAAUGCUCACUGU
rnacentral:lncRNA from 10 species